GGCCAGGAUUGAGAAGCUACUCUAAUACGCUAUACUCUCUCUCUCAUUCUCUCAAAAUCUGUCAUACACCCUCUGCGAAAGUCUGGUGCGAGUAUUAGAGAAUCAUAUAAUGGAAGUUUGUUUUAUAGUCUCUCUCUCAAUCUUCGUUCUUUAGAGAUCUAGGGUUUCUCCAUCAUCGAUCAUUCAUCUGUCUUGAUAAUCAAAUGUUUCAUUACCGUGGUUCAUAUCACAAUUCGCAAGCAAGAAGACGACGACAACGAAGUCUUGGUUAUGUGUGAACGCCGUAAUCAACGUUGGUGAUGGUGGUGCUGAGUGUUGACGUCACUGAACCCUAAAUCACUAACAGAGGCUAUAUUUAUUCGAUUGGUGACUUAUGGUCGGGUUCUUAUUAACAAACACACUGACUAGAGCGAGUACAUCGAUGUUGAUAUCAACGAUUGUUCAAUCAGUGAUGAUGAAGUUUUGAAGAACGAAUCAAUGGCUAUUUGAAGGUGAUUGUUUAAUAAUUUUGUUAGGAUUGAAGAACCAACUUUGUUUGUAGAGCGAUUAAGAACAAUGACGGGAAGGAUCAAACGGUUUAAUGAACAACAAGAUAAACCCUCAAAGUCACAACCUGCUUUGUCUGAUUUCUCUCCUCUUUGUUUCAAUAGGCUUGUGUCUUCAAUUCUUAUCGUUGUUAAUGAGAUGCGAAGAUGAGCAGAUGAAAGUCUUGCAGUGGAAGUCAGUGGACCUGUGCAAUCUUUUUCUGAGGACAACAUAAUUAGGCAUUGUUGUUCUUACUCAUGAAGUUGUGAAGCUUUUUCCGAAGAAUUGACUUAUAUCCGAGGUAUAUUGUUGAUUUUGAUAUGUUAUAAGGGUUUGAUAUAUUUAUAUCCUUUUGGUUAAUCACUUUCUUGGAGAGAGAAAUGGCUCGAGUGAAGAUAGAUCAGGGUAGAAGGAGACCAGUGAGUUUCCGGUGGACCACUGGCGGCUUAUCCAACGAAAGACCAGGUAAUGAGGUGAUGUCGCACCUCCGAUUGUCUCAUGAUCUAAAUCUGUCCGAGUUAUUCAAUUGGAAGUGGAUUUGAAAUGAUGUUAUGUUUUCUGUGAUUGUCAAAACUUAGUUUUGUAGUGUUAAUUCUUUGGAUCUGGUAAUUGUUUUUGGAAUAUAAGUUAUUUGAAAUCUCAGAUUGUUAAGGGGGUAAAUUUCAGCGAUUUUUCAUCUUGGCUUUGGUGUUGGUAACUGAUCAGCUUCAUAGCAAGAGUGGGAGCAUUUUGAACAGGACAUCAAAUGGUGGGAGGCGAAGCAGAUGGAAUCAGGAUGAGGUUUGAAAAGACACGUCUAUAGCUAUGUAUAAUACUGAUAGGCUCACUAAGCGUGAUGAGAACGUAUAGCUUCUAUGUUAAUAUAGCAUCUAGAAAGUGCAGUGGAUAUAGGAGUUGUUUGUUUGGAUGGGAGGCGACCUACAUAUCACUGGAACAUGGGAUCUGGUGCAGGAAUCAACUGGUUAGUACACACUGAGGUGUGUUGUUGAGAAAAAUGUUAUACAUUGUGGUUUUUGUAUCAAGAAACUAUUAUUCUGUUGACAAGAGAAGACGAUCAUUACAUGUCGGAUCCUUUAGAUGUAUUAGUGGAUCUCCUCGCCACCACGACCAGUUGAAGUGUGCAAGGCUUCAACAUCAGGCAAUGUUCCUCAUGAAACUUUCUGGCAUAGCAU